rnacentral:rRNA from 1 species
UACAUGGGGUGCAAACGUUGCUCGGAAUUAUUGGGCGUAAAGCGCACGUAGGCAGUUUGUUAAGUCGGAUGUGAAAUCCCUCGGCUCAACUGAGGAAGUGCAUCCGAAACUGGCAGGCUUGAGUACUAAAGAGGGUCGCGGAAUUCCCGGUGUAGAGGUGAAAUUCGUAGAUAUCGGGAGGAACACCGGUGGCGAAGGCGGCGACCUGGGUAGAUACUGACGCUGAGGUGCGAAAGCGUGGGGAGCAAACAGG